rnacentral:rRNA from 1 species
CUGGCGGCAUGCCUAAGACAUGCAAGUCGAACGAAGUCUUCGGACUUAGUGGCGCACGGGUGAGUAACAUGUGGGAAUCUACCUAAAGGUUCGGAAUAACUGCGGGAAACUGUAGCUAAUACCGGAUGUGUCCGUAAGGAGAAAGAUUUAUUGCCUUUAGAUGAGCCCGCACUAGAUUAGCUUGUUGGUGAGGUAACUGCUCCACCAAGGCUACGAUCUAUAGCUGAUUUGAGAGGAUGAUCAGCCACACUGGGACUGAGACACGGCCCAGACUCCUACGGGAGGCAGCAGUCGGGAAUAUUGGACAAUGGGGGAAACCCUGAUCCAGCAAUGCCGCGUGAGUGAAGAAGGCCCUCGGGUUGUAAAACUCUUUCAUCAAUGAAGAUAAUGACAUUAAUUGAAGAAGAAGCUCCGGCUAACUCCGUGCCAGCAGCCGCGGUAAUACGGAGGGGGCUAGCGUUGUUCGGAAUUACUGGGCGUAAAGCGUAUGUAGGCGGAUCAAAAAGUUAGAUGUGAAAUCCCUGGGCUUAACCUAGGAACUGCAUUUAAAACUAGUGAUCUAGAAUUUGGUAGGGGUUAGUAGAAUUUCCAGUGUAGAGGUGAAAUUCGUAGAUAUUGGAAAGAAUACCAGUGGCGAAGGCGACUAACUGGGCCAUUUUUGACGCUGAGAUACGAAAGCGUGGGUAGCAAACAGGAUUAGAUACCCUGGUAGUCCACGCAGUAAACGAUGAGUGCUAGUCGCUGGGUCAAUAGAUUCAGUGUCGAAGCUAACGCAUUAAGCACUCCGCCU